rnacentral:rRNA from 1 species
CGGAGGAAAAGAAACCAACAGGGAUUCCCCCAGUAACGGCGAGCGAAGCGGGAUGAGCUCGAGCCUAAAAUCUCCGGCGCACAGCCGGCGAAUUGUAGCCGAGAGAGGCAUCC